rnacentral:rRNA from 1 species
ACGAACGCUGGCGGCGUGCUUCACACCUGCAGGUCGAACGCAGAGCGAUGGAAGCUUGCUUCUAUCAAUCUUAGUGGCGAACGGGUGAGUAACGCGUAAUCAACCUGCCCUUCAGAGGGGGACAACAGUUGGAAACGACUGCUAAUACCGCAUACGAUCCAAUCUCGGCAUCGGGACUGGAUGAAAGGUGGCCUCUAUUUAUAAGCUAUCACUGAAGGAGGGGAUUGCGUCUGAUUAGCUAGUUGGAGGGGUAACGGCCCACCAAGGCGAUGAUCAGUAGCCGGUCUGAGAGGAUGAACGGCCACAUUGGGACUGAGACACGGCCCAGACUCCUACGGGAGGCAGCAGUGGGGAAUCUUCCGCAAUGGACGAAAGUCUGACGGAGCAACGCCGCGUGAGUGAUGACGGCCUUCGGGUUGUAAAGCUCUGUUAAUCGGGACGAAUGGUUCUUGUGCGAAUAGUGCGAGGAUUUGACGGUACCGGAAGAGAAAGCCACGGCUAACUACGUG